rnacentral:tRNA from 1 species
GGGGUUGUGGCUCAGCGGUAGAGCACUCGCCUAGCAUGUGCGAGGCCCUGGGUUUGAUCCUCAGCACCACA